rnacentral:rRNA from 1 species
AGAGUUUGAUCAUGGCUCAGAUUGAACGCUGGCAGCAUGCUUUACACAUGCAAGUCGAACGGUAGGGUAGCAAUACCUGAGAGUGGCGAACGGGUGAGUAAUGCAUCGGAACAUGCCUAUUUGUGGGGGAUAGCCCGGCGAAAGCCGGAUUAAUACCGCAUACGAUCUACGGAUGAAAGCUGGGGACCGCAAGGCCUAGCGCAAAUAGAGUGGCCGAUGUCAGAUUAGCUAGUUGGUGGGGUAAAGGCCCACCAAGGCAACGAUCUGUAGCUGGUUUGAGAGAACGACCAGCCACACUGGGACUGAGACACGGCCCAGACUCCUACGGGAGGCAGCAGUGGGGAAUUUUGGACAAUGGGCGCAAGCCUGAUCCAGCAAUGCCGCGUGCAGGAUGAAGGCCUUCGGGUUGUAAACUGCUUUUGCACGGAACGAAACGGCUCUGGUUAAUACCCGGGGCUAAUGACGGUACCG